UUGGUCUGCCUGUGUCGGGGUGUUUAUUGGACAGUACGAAGCAUGUUUUAAUAGUAAUUAAUCGGGAAGACGGAUUUCAAAUUGACCUAUCCUUUACACAAACGUGAAUGACAACGAUGCUAGUGUCACCACCAAACAAUCGGACAUUCCGCCUCUCGCUGACAGCAUCCAAAAUUUGCAAUAAGAUGUCAUGGGUGCAAAGGUUUUGUUCGCAAACUUCAUAGCAGGGCAGAUCACUCCUUUUUUGGUUGCAAUGCAGAUUAUUCCACCAGUCUCUGCAAGCCCAUGUUUACAGACAAGCAAGAUCGCCUUUGCAGUCGUACCUAAAUGCAUGUGCUUUAAUUUAAAUUUUGAUAUAUAGACCGGCCAAUGUUUAUUGUAUGGUGUAAAAGGAUGCAACCUUAAAUAUUAUUUGAUAUUAUGUAUGUGACUUGUUGGAGAAGAUUUUUUGCUGAAUAGAUGAUUUUAAUAAAAUAUUAAUGUAUA